rnacentral:rRNA from 1 species
AAGCAUCUUCGGAUGUGUAUAAAGUGGCGAACGGCUGAGUAACACGUGGGCAACCUGCCCUUUGCACUGGGAUAGCCUCGGGAAACCGAGGUUAAUACCGGAUACUCCAUAUUUGUCGCGUGGCGAAUAUGGGAAAGCUCCGGCGGCAAAGGAUGGGCCCGCGGCCUGUUAGCUAGUUGGUGGGGUAGUGGCCUACCAAGGCAAUGAUGGGUAGCCGGGUUGAGAGACCGACCGGCCAGAUUGGGACUGAGACACGGCCCAGACUCCUACGGGAGGCAGCAGUGGGGAAUCUUGCACAAUGGGCGACAGCCUGAUGCAGCGACGCCGCGUGCGGGAUGAAGGCCUUCGGGUUGUAAACCGCUUUCAGCAGGGACGAGGCCGCAAGGUGACGGUACC